rnacentral:tRNA from 1 species
GGACUAAAGUUUAUUAAACAUUUAAAUUGCAAUUAAAAAUAAUAUAUCUUAUAUUAGUCUAAA